rnacentral:tRNA from 1 species
GACUCAGUGGUUAAGUGGUAAAGCGCUCGUCGCGGAGCUAGAGGGUUCUGAGUUCGAUCCCCGACUGGGAUC